AAUAUAUACAGGUACAUUCUAAAUAUAUACAGGUACAUUCUAAAUAUAUACAGGUACAUUCUAAAUAUAUACAGGUACAUUCUAAAUAUACAGUUACAUUCUAAAUCCAUACAGGUACAUUCUAAAUAUAUACAGGUACAUUCUAAAUAUAUACAGAUACAUUCUAAAUAUAUACAGGUACAUUCUAAAUAUAUACAGGUACAUUCUAAAUAUAUACAGGUACAUUCUAAAUAUAUACAGGUACAUUCUAAAUAUAUACAGGUACAUUCUAAAUAUAUACAGGUACAUUCUAAAUAUAUACAGGUACAUUCUAAAUAUACAGUUACAUUCUAAAUCCAUACAGGUACAUUCUAAAUAUAUACAGGUACAUUCUAAAUAUAUACAGAUACAUUCUAAAUAUAUACAGGUACAUUCUAAAUAUAUACAGGUACAUUCUAAAUAUAUACAGGUACAUUCUAAAUAUAUACAGGUACAUUCUAAAUAUAUACAGGUACAUUCUAAAUAUAUACAGGUACAUUCUAAAUAUAUACAGGUACAUUCUAAAUAUACAGUUACAUUCUAAAUCCAUACAGGUACAUUCUAAAUAUAUACAGGUACAUUCUAAAUAUAUACAGGUACAUUCUAAAUAUAUACAGGUACAUUCUAAAUAUAUACAGGUACAUUCUAAAUAUAUACAGGUACAUUCUAAAUACAUACAGGUACAUACAGGUACAUUAUAAAAUAGGUACAUUCUAAAUAUAUACAGGUACAUUCUAAAUAUAUACAGAUACAUUCUAAAUAUAUACAGGUACAUUCUAAAUAUAUACAGGUACAUUCUAAAUAUAUACAGGUACAUUCUAAAUACAUACAGGUACAUACAGGUACAUUAUAAAAUAGGUACAUUCUAAAUAUAUACAGGUACAUUCUAAAUAUAUACAGAUACAUUCUAAAUAUAUACAGGUACAUUCUAAAUAUAUACAGGUACAUUCUAAAUAUAUACAGGUACAUUCUAAAUAUAUACAGGUACAUUCUAAAUAUAUACAGGUACAUUCUAAAUAUAUACAGGUACAUUCUAAAUAUAUACAGGUACAUUCUAAAUAUACAGUUACAUUCUAAAUCCAUACAGGUACAUUCUAAAUAUAUACAGGUACAUUCUAAAUAUAUACAGAUACAUUCUAAAUAUAUACAGGUACAUUCUAAAUAUAUACAGGUACAUUCUAAAUAUAUACAGGUACAUUCUAAAUAUAUACAGGUACAUUCUAAAUAUAUACAGGUACAUUCUAAAUAUAUACAGGUACAUUCUAAAUAUAUACAGGUACAUUCUAAAUAUACAGUUACAUUCUAAAUCCAUACAGGUACAUUCUAAAUAUAUACAGGUACAUUCUAAAUAUAUACAGGUACAUUCUAAAUAUAUACAGGUACAUU